rfam:Gossypium hirsutum cultivar TM-1 chromosome 6, whole genome shotgun sequence
UGUUAAAAUUUGAUUCAUUUGUCCUAUUAAAAACUGACACGGCUGACAAAAUAAGCAUACAAUGACAUGUGACAUGUCAUGUGUACCUUACGGUGACUAGUUUUUAACCGUAGAAAUGAAUUAAAUUUUUAAUA